AUUUGAUGGUAAGGGCAAUUGUUACACAACUUUUUAAAAUGCUUCCAUUAAUCAUAGAGAGUUUUUCCAUCAAAUUGACGAAUACCACAAAUUUCGUUUCUUAUAUU